rnacentral:rRNA from 1 species
GAUGAACGCUGGCGGCGUGCCUAAUACAUGCAAGUCGAGCGAACAGACGCGGAGCUUGCUCCUCUGACGUUAGCCGCGCACGGGUGAGUCACACGUGUAUAACCUACCUAUCAGACUGGGAUAACUUCGGGAAACCGGAGCUAAUACCGGAUAAUAUAUUGAACCGCAUGGUUCAAUAGUGAAAGACGGUUUUGCUGUCACUUAUCGCUGGAUCCACGCCGCAUUAGCUAGUUGGUAAGGUAACGGCUUACCACGGGUACGAUGCGUAGCCGACCUGAGAGGGUGAUCGGCCACACUGGAACUGAGACACGGUCCAGACUCCUACGGGACGCAGCAGUAGGGAAUCUGCCGCAAUGGGCGAAAGCUUGACGGAGCAACGGCGCGUGUGUGAUGAAGGUCUUCGGAUCGUAAAACUCUGUUAUUGGGGAAGAACAAAUGUGUAAGUAACUAUGCACGUCGUGACGGUACCUAAUCAGAAAGCAACGGCUAACUACGUG